GCGAGACUGGCCCCGCAUCUGAGCGUUGGCCUGUUGAGACACCCGUCUGCCUAUUUUUCUAUUUUUGGAUUUACCCUGAUUUGGUGGGCUCAAGGCGAAUGCUUACGUUUCUCCUGAGCUUUCACAUGGUACCACUGCACUAUUUGACUACGGCAAGGGAAGAGAGCGGGAAAUGGAAAAAAAAUGACGUGAGAAGGCUCGGAAACAGCAGUUGCGGGAAAAGUGAACGCACGCGAGAGCAACGAUGACGUUACUGCAAGGAACAACAAGGAAAAAAAAAGGAGGGGUAACCUCGGUCACGCCAUAUGCUCUGGAUCACCGUGGAUGAAAGAAAGCAAGAACUAUGAGGGAGUGGGACCAGGAGGCAUCCAGCCUUCGCUAGGCAACCUCCUCCGACGUCCUUCUGUCUCUCCGCUCCCAAGGGGAAUCACGGGAACGGAGCCCAUCGCGCGCUGGAUCUUGGGAACAACUCAGCGGUUCCUGACUUUGCUCGAGCUAGGUCGGUCACCACGUGGAGCACUAGCAGGGAGCGGGAGGUCACCGGCUCUCCCCAGACGCGGCGUUCAACCACGGCGGUCGACCGCCCGGGCUCCACUCGGCCGGUGCCCGGUCCCCCGACACCAUCGACUGCCG